rnacentral:rRNA from 1 species
UUAACUUAGUGGCGGACGGGCGAGUAACACGUGANGCAACCUGCCUCUUACAGGGAAUAACAACGGGAAACCGUUGCUAAUACCGCAUAACAUGUUAAAAGGGCAUCCCUUUUAACAUCAAAGGAGUAAUCCGGUAAGAGAUGGGCUCGCGUCCGAUUAGCUAGUUGGUAGGGUAACGGCCUACCAAGGCGACGAUCGGUAGCCGGACUGAGAGGUCGAACGGCCGCAUUGGGACUGAGACACGGGCCCAGACUCCUACGGGAGGCAGCAGCG